rnacentral:rRNA from 1 species
AUGCGGGAUCUGGAGGAGGAAGAGGAGAUCCGAGCGUCCCGGCGGUGGAUCGACCGAUGCCAGAUCGGGCGGAGGUCGCCGCCGUGGGAGGAGCAGGGAAGGGUGAGGCCUGGGUUCGACCAGCAGCGCACGCUCUUUAGGCUGGUGCUAGGCUGCAUCUUUUCCUGCCCCCGUCCUGGUGCCUCCUCCUACCCGCGUAAAUGGCGAGCAGAGGGCGUGAUCCAGAGUUUGGAUGUGGAUGUUACUUCAGGGAGGAAGUUGGUUACAAUUUUCAUUUGUAUGAUGCAGCAGGCACAAACUAAUUUACAGAAUUUUUGGUGUUGCGGUCUCUCCCCAUCUUAA